GAUAUUGGACAAUGGGGGCAACCCUGAUCCAGCCAUGCCGCGUGUGUGAAGAAGGUCUUCGGAUUGUAAAGCACUUUAAGUUGGGAGGAAGGGCUUCAGGUUAAUACCCUGAAGUUUUGACGUUACCAACGGAAUAAGCACCGGCUACCUCUGUGCCAGCAGCCUCGGAAAUACAGAGGGUGCAAGCGUUAAUCGGAAUUACUGGGCGUAAAGCGCGCGGAGGUGGUUCAGUAAGAUUGGUGGGAAAUCCCCGGGCUUAAACUGGGAACUGCUUUCAUAAAUGCUGAGCUAGAGUACGGUAGAGGGUAGUGGAAUUUCCUGUGUAGCGGUGAAAUGCGUAGAUAUAGGAAGGAACACCAGUGGCGAAGGCGACUACCUGGACUGAUACUGACACUGAGGUGCGAAAGCGUGGGGAGCAAACA
rnacentral:rRNA from 1 species